GCCCGGUUGGUGUAGUGGUAGCACGCGAGUCUCUCAAGCUCGCAGCACGGGUUCAAUCCCCGUACCGGGUAC
rnacentral:tRNA from 1 species